rnacentral:rRNA from 1 species
AGUGAACGCUGGCGGUAGGCCUAACACAUGCAAGUCGAACGGCAGCACAGUAAGAGCUUGCUCUUACGGGUGGCGAGUGGCGGACGGGUGAGGAAUACAUCGGAAUCUACUUUUUCGUGGGGGAUAACGUAGGGAAACUUACGCUAAUACCGCAUACGACCUACGGGUGAAAGCAGGGGAUCUUCGGACCUUGCGCGAUUGAAUGAGCCGAUGUCGGAUUAGCUAGUUGGCGGGGUAAAGGCCCACCAAGGCGACGAUCCGUAGCUGGUCUGAGAGGAUGAUCAGCCACACUGGAACUGGGACACGGUCCAGACUCCUACGGGAGGCAGCAGUGGGGAAUAUUGGACAAUGGGCGCAGGCCUGAUCCAGCCAUACCGCGUGGGUGAAGAAGGCCUUCGGGUUGUAAAGCCCUUUUGUUGGGAAAGAAAAGCAGCAGGUUAAUACCCCGCUGUUCUGACGGUACCCAAAGAAUAAGCACCGGCUAACUUCGUG